rnacentral:rRNA from 1 species
GGAUCAAUGGAUUGGUCAUGCCGAUGGUGUGUACUGGUCAUAUUGGUUCUCACCUUCUAAGGAACCAUAAUGUCAUUUAUUUGAUGUUGUGGGGAAUUAGGACUGUUACCUUGAAAAAAUUAGAGUGUUUAAAGCAGGCUAACGCUUGAAUACAUUAGCAUGGAAUAAUGAAAUAGGACAUCGCAUUCUAUUUUGUUGGUUUCUAGGAUCGAUGUAAUGAUUAAUAGGGAUAGUUGGG